GAUCAACAGGGGCCUUGUCAGUGGGACCUGGACAUUGUGGCCUGCUCAGCGGGGCCUGAUCAGUAGGACCUGGACAUUGUGGCCUGGUCAGCGGGGGCCUUGUCAGUGGGACCUGAACAUUGUGGUCUGUGCUGCAUCUGUGAUCUCAAGUCUCUACUGGAAUUGGAUAGAGAUGGUGAAUUUCAGCCAGAGCGCCCAAAGAACUCGUGUCCCGCGCUCCUGAACGCCAUCAGCCGCCGCACCUCCAUCUUCCCUCCUCCCACGAGUCUCCUGCUCCCCGUGACUCUGGCCUCCUCGCAGUGUUGCUGGGCCACGUCAGGAAGUGCUGGAGGACGUGGCAUUGCACCAACACCAGGCGGCCAGCCGUGUGGCUCAUCCCGCAAAUCAGGCUCUUCCUGUGCAUGGAGAUGGAGUCCCUCUGGAGGCAGCCCGUGGCCCUGUUCUCGGGCAGGUGGAGCAUGGAGA
rnacentral:lncRNA from 10 species